rnacentral:lncRNA from 1 species
GCCGGUCUAGGGUAGGGUUUAGUUCCUUCAUCUGGAUCACUUCUGAAGAGGAAGAUUGAAUACUCUAUCAAGCUGCCUUUUGUAUGGCAAUGUGUUUUUCCAGAGCAGAAAUUCAGAGCUUCCGCCACGCCAUGAUUCUCUCACUUUGGAAGGUAAAGAUCUAUCUGGCUCUUUCUUGUCAGCUGGUGCUCAUUUGGAUAAGCAGC